rnacentral:tRNA from 1 species
GUUCUUGUAGCUUAAACUUCUUUAAAGCAUAACACUGAAAAUGUUAAUAUGGGCAACCAAGCCCCCAGCAACA